rnacentral:snoRNA from 1 species
UGCCCAGUGAUGACACCCAUCCUUGCUCCCCGUGCCCCCCCGGGGCUGUGGGCGACACCAUGGCUGCUCCCAGGCUGGGCCGGUUGGGCUGAUGCCUGGGAGCUGAGGGCA